GUGAAUCAUCGAAUCUUUGAACGCAAAUUGCACUCUCUGGCAUUCCGGAGAGUAUGCCUGUUUGAGGGUCAGUUUAAAUAAAAAUCGGGGUGUGGCUGUUUUGUUACCGAUCGGAGUUGUGUUAGCUUUGACCUUUUUAAAAGUUUAAGUGACCUAAAAUUGAUACCUUGUGCAUCUCAGAAGUACAUAAGAUUAUUUUUUUAUCCGUACUCAGUUGCCCACUUUUUAUUAGGUAUGACCAUGCUGUUUGUAGCAUCG
rnacentral:misc_RNA from 1 species